GACGAACCGUGCGAACGUUAUUCGGAAUCAUUGGGCUUAAAGAGCACGUAGGCGGCGCUGUAAGUUGGAGGUGAAAUCCCAUCGGCUCAACCGUGGAAUUGCCUUCAAAACUGCGGCGCUCGAGGAAGGUAGGGGCGUGUGGAACUUCCAGUGGAGCGGUGAAAUGUGUUGAGAUUGGAAGGAACGCCAGUGGCGAAAGCGACACGCUGGAUCUUUUCUGACGCUGAGGUGCGAAAGCUAGGGGAGCAAACGGG
rnacentral:rRNA from 1 species